CCUACGGGUGGCUGCAGUGGGGAAUAUUGCACAAUGGGCGCAAGCCUGAUGCAGCCAUGCCGCGUGUGUGAAGAAGGCCUUCGGGUUGUAAAGCACUUUCAGCGGGGAGGAAGGCGGUGAGGUUAAUAACCUCAUCGAUUGACGUUACCCGCAGAAGAAGCACCGGCUCAACUCCGUGCCAGCAGCCGCGGUAAUACGGAGGGUGCAAGCGUUAAUCGGAAUUACUGGGCGUAAAGCGCACGCAGGCGGUCUGUCAAGUCGGAUGUGAAAUCCCCGGGCUCAACCUGGGAACUGCAUUCGAAACUGGCAGGCUAGAGUCUUGUAGAGGGGGGUAGAAUUCCAGGUGUAGCGGUGAAAUGCGUAGAGAUCUGGAGGAAUACCGGUGGCGAAGGCGGCCCCCUGGACAAAGACUGACGCUCAGGUGCGAAAGCGUGGGGAGCAAACAGGAUUAGAUACCCCAGUAGUC
rnacentral:rRNA from 1 species